GGCCGGAUGGUGUAGUUGGUUAUCACGUGUCCUUAACAAUUAAAAGUUGUUAAAAUACGGACAAGGUCCUGGGAUCGUGCCCCAGUCUGGUCA
rnacentral:tRNA from 1 species